AUUGAACGCUGGCGGCAGGCCUAACACAUGCAAGUCGAACGGUAACAGGAGGAAGCUUGCUUCUUUGCUGACGAGUGGCGGACGGGUGAGUAAUGUCUGGGAAACUGCCUGAUGGAGGGGAUAACUUCUGGAAACCGGAGCUAAUACCGGAUAAACUUUGAAACCCCAAGGAGGGGGACUUCAGGGCCUUUUUCCUUUGAAUUGUCCAAGGUGGGAUUAGCUAGUAGGUGGGGUAACGGCUCACCUAGGCGACGAUCCCUAGCUGGUCUGAGAGGAUGACCAGCCACACUGGAACUGAGACACGGUCCAGACUCCUACGGGAGGCAGCAGUGGGGAAUAUUGCACAAUGGGCGCAAGCCUGAUGCAGCCAUGCCGCGUGUAUGAAGAAGGCCUUCGGGUUGUAAAGUACUUUCAGCGGGGAGGAAGGGAGUAAAGUUAAUACCUUUGCUCAUUGACGUUACCCGCAGAAGAAGCACCGGCUAACUCCGUG
rnacentral:rRNA from 1 species